rnacentral:rRNA from 1 species
GACGAACGCUGGCGGCGUGCUUAACACAUGCAAGUCGAACGAUGAAGCCGGAGCUUGCUCUGGUGAAUUAGUGGCGAACGGGUGAGUAACACGUGAGUAACCUGCCCUUGACUCUGGGAUAACUGCGGGAAACUGUAGCUAAUACCGGAUACGACCCUCGGAGGCAUCUCCUGGGGGUGGAAAGAAUUCCGGUCAAGGAUGGACUCGCGGCCUAUCAGCUAGUUGGUGAGGUAAAGGCUCACCAAGGCGACGACGGGUAGCCGGCCUGAGAGGGGGACCGGCCACACUGGGACUGAGACACGGCCCAGACUCCGACGGGAGGCAGCAGUGGGGAAUAUUGCACAAUGGGCGCAAGCCUGAUGCAGCAACGCCGCGUGAGGGAUGACGGCCUUCGGGUUGUAAACCUCUUUUAGCAGGGAGGAAGCGAAAGUGACGGUACCUGCAGAAAAAGCACCGGCUAACUACGUGCCAGCCGCCGCCGUAA